AGGCCUAACACAUGCAAGUCGAACGAUGCUUUCGGGCAUAGUGGCGCACGGGUGCGUAACGCGUGGGAAUCUGCCCUUAGGUUCGGAAUAACAGUUAGAAAUGACUGCUAAUACCGGAUGAUGACGUAAGUCCAAAGAUUUAUCGCCUAGGGAUGAGCCCGCGUAGGAUUAGCUAGUUGGUCUGGUAAAGGCGCACCAAGGCGACGAUCCUUAGCUGGUCUGAGAGGAUGAUCAGCCACACUGGGACUGAGACACGGCCCAGACUCCUACGGGAGGCAGCAGUGGGGAAUAUUGGACAAUGGGCGCAAGCCUGAUCCAGCAAUGCCGCGUGAGUGAUGAAGGCCUUAGGGUUGUAAAGCUCUUUUACCCGGGAUGAUAAUGACAGUACCGGGAGAAUAAGCCCCGGCUAACUCCGUGCCAGCAGCCGCGGUAAU
rnacentral:rRNA from 1 species